CAGCAGCCGCGGUAAUACGUAGGUGGCAAGCGUUGUCCGGAAUNACUGGGUGUAAAGGGAGCGCAGGCGGGUCUGCAAGUUGGAAGUGAAACCCAUGGGCUCAACCCAUGAACUGCUUUCAAAACUGCGGAUCUUGUGUGGUGUAGAGGUAGGCGGAAUUCCCGGUGUAGCGGUGGAAUGCGUAGAUAUCGGGAGGAACACCAGUGGCGAAGGCGGCCUACUGGGCACUAACUGACGCUGAGGCUCGAAAGCAUGGGUAGCAAACAGGAUUAGAUACCCUGGUAGUCCAUGCCGUAAACGAUGAUUACUAGGUGUGGGAGGAUUGACCCCUUCCGUGCCGCAGUUAACACAAUAAGUAAUCCACCUGGGGAGU
rnacentral:rRNA from 1 species